ACAAAUUUAGGCAGCAACCGGACCGCAUCACUGUGAUAAAUUAAUUUGAUAGUGCUACUUAAAAUUUUUUUAGUUUUGGACCCAAGUACUAUUCAUGAAAAUGUGAAGGAUCAAAGUGUAUUUUUGUCAUUUUCGCCAAUUGAACUCGUUUCCCUUUCGAUUCCCAUGCGUAGCAAGAUCCCUGCCCUUUGUGGCCAUUGCCAUUCUCCCACGACGCCUUCCUAGGCACCGGGGAGAACCCAAUUCCCGCCCUUCUCUCCACUCUCCUCCUCCUCGAGACCUCUCCGCUCUCUGGCGUCUCCUCCCCCUCUCCUCCCGCCUCCUCCCCUUUCUCUCGUUGGUCCAACAUUCGAUCUAUAUGAAGAGGCCCAGAUGUGUUCUUCUUCCCCAGACCCCAUUUUCUCGUCUCCUGCUCAUUUUUUACAUCAUUUCGAGCUCUGUUCCCGGAAGUUUCUCAACAGAGACUGUUACACUUGGGUCAAUCCAGAUUUUUAAAACGCAUGAAUUUCUGGCUCGAAAACCAACCAUUUAUUUUUAUUGUAAAGGAGAGAACAAGAUAAUCCUGCCAGAUGUGAAGGAAAAACACUUCCUCUAUACUUUCAAGGGCAAAGAAUCUUGGCAGCCUCUGACAGAGCUUACAGAAAAUAAGUGCAAGCGCUGUGGUCUCUAUGAGAUGGACAGGAUAAAAUCUGAUGAUGUUUUUGAUGAGUGGGAGCUGUGCCUUGAUGAUUUUAUUGAUGGAAAAUCUAUACAUUUUAAGGAGAAGGAGUUCAAUGCCACAUUCAUAUGUGAGCAAUGUAGAGCUGCUGCUGCUGUUCCAGUUGUAGAUUCUGGUAUGACUUCUAGCUCAAAGAGUGGUUCUGCCAACAAGAAAAUGAAUGUGGUUCUAGUGAUGGUUAUCAGUGCAUUGGUUUCUGUUAUAGCUGCUGCGGGAACGGUUGGUGCAUACAAAUACUGGCAGAAGAGGAAGAGGGAACAAGACCAAGCUCGAUUUCUAAAGCUUUUCGAAGAUGGAGAUGACAUUGAAGAUGAACUUGGCAUCAGAAUACUCUACCCAGAUUCUGGAUCACACACCAAGGCAACUUAAGGAGUGGACAAAUACAAUGUUCUUUGGAAGAAUUCUCAUAAUUUUGAGCUGAAGUUCAACAUUGUGUUGUAUCACGAUGAGAGAUCAGAACAGAUUCAAAUAUAUCUGGGAGGUGCUUUAUGAAGACGGUCAGAAAGAAGCGGCCUUAGAGGUGGGGGAGGUGGAAUAAACAAGGUCAGAUAUUGGGAAACAACACCAAGAUUUGAAUCCAGAAUUUCCUACGAAAGCUGCAAAUGAAACUGGUGGAGUAUAAGCAGUCACAUUCUGGUUAAUUUACAAGGUUGCUCUUAUCAAUGGUGAUGCAAUUCCGGGAGCCUCAUUUGUGGGUGUCGCUGAAUGGGAUUUUGUGGAUUAAGCUAACUUCUAUACGGCCAACUCAUUACAGAUUGCAAGGUUAAAA